GGGGAUUUAGCUCAGCAGCAUAAGCGCCUGCCUUGGAAGCAUGUGGUCGUGAGUUCAAUCCCCA
rnacentral:tRNA from 1 species